GCGAGCGAGGGCCGCCCGCUCGGUGCGGCCGGCAGCCGCUUCCCGUCGGCGGAGGGCUCGCCGAAGGGGAGAGCGGCUCGGGGGGCUGCUUUCCCCCUCCCGCGCUGCGAGUGACCCAUUCAAGUCACCCGGCAGGUGUGUGUGUUGGACACCGCAGUGUUACCGAAUCUCAGCAGAUCUCUUGUACCAGAAGAGGCCCAACCUCAGCUCACGUUUGUACCAUCUUUCCUUGGAAACACUGUGGGCACUGGACAGCACAUCUGUAAAUCCUUGACGGUUGGGUGCCAGCGUACGAUGCCUGCCCCCACUGCAUGCCUCUCCGUUUGCUGUCACAACACCGAGAGAGGAGGAGGAGGAAGGGAGAGGAAGGGAAAACUAAAAACCCUGAAGGAUGGUUCUCAAAAAUUCUAGCGGAACCAGGGGGAAUUCCUCGGAGAGCGGGAGCCAGCCGGCGGAGAUGGCCGAGCCCGGAGGUGUUUGAUGAGCAGAUUGGGUCUUUAUCUCGGCACUGGAGAGCACGCAGGCUUGCAGAGAGACAGGGCAGCUUCGGAGCGUUUCUGUUGUUUGUUUGUUUUCUUCUGCUGAAAUCUGGCUGCCUUUUUACUGCGCUGUAAAGAAUUUGUACGGGCUGAAUAUGUUUCUGGUUUAUAUAUAGUUUUUCAUAUCAUCAUAUUAAACAUAUUGAGACUUAAGGAGAAACUAUUUUAAAAUAAUCCACUCUAUUUUAUUUGGUAUGUUUACCAGCAGCACGCUCUAUAAAAAUACAUAUUCAUGCCAGAUUCUUUUGUUAUCCUUCCCAGGUCAGACCGAACACUAGGAACACAAACAAUUUUUCUUUUGCUAUCCCAGUGCCCGCUCCUAGGGAUUUAUCUAGUUACUGUUGGUGAGGUGACCAUUCCUGCAAUAUUUCCCUCUGUGAUUUAAUUAAAUAAGCCAUGAAUUAAAGCUUGCUGAUAAGAUUUUAUUUUUAAGCAUUAUUUACAUUUAUUUUCUGACAAUAGUCCUGACUUUUUGUAUGUAUCAAUUUGAUAGUAAUCCUUUUCUGAGGAUGGCUAUGCAGAGUGUUUUAGAAUGGUCUCCCUCAUCUGCAUAUUUUCCUUAUUUUAUUUUAUUUAUUUAAUUAUUUUAUUUUAUUCAUGUUAUGCAAAAUGAAUGGAACAACAAAAUUAUACAAUUAUAGAAGAAUGUAAUUUAAUGCCAAAAGAUGGAUUAAAACAGUUUAUAUGAAUGAUCUGAUCUGACAUUAGUGCCUUGUUAUUUCGUGCAAACCUUGAUUUUCAACUGUUUCGUUUCACUCCUGACAUGAGCAUCGUGCAGUUUAAACAUCUGUCCAGCCGUUAAAGACCCUAUUGAUGCUUGGUUAUUGGAUUUCUAAUUUUCAGGUUUUGUCAAGGGGUUUAAGAGACUAUAUGAGUGUUUAUAAUUUCUAAUGAGUUUAAUCUGUAAUUUGUGCCUAUUACCUGUGACUGUCAAAUCACUUUCCCAGUAUUUGGUCUGUACAAAUUGAAAAUAAAGAAAUAUGGGCU